UACAGAGGUCCCAAGCGUUGUUCGGAUUCACUGGGCGUAAAGGGUGCGUAGGCGGUCGGGUAAGUCUGACGUGAAAUCCCGCAGCUCAACUGCGGAACUGCGUCGGAUACUAUUCGGCUUGAGGAAUGGAGGGGAGACUGGAAUUCUCGGUGUAGCGGUGAAAUGCGCAGAUAUCGGGAGGAACACCGAUGGCGAAGGCAGCUCGCUGGGACGGUACUGACGCUGAGACGCGAAAGCGUGGGGAGCGAACAGG
rnacentral:rRNA from 1 species